AACGAACGCUGGCGGCAUGCCUAACACAUGCAAGUCGAACGAGACCUUCGGGUCUAGUGGCGCACGGGUGCGUAACGCGUGGGAACCUGCCCUUAGGUUCGGAAUAACUCCCCGAAAGGGGUGCUAAUACCGGAUAAUGUCUUCGGACCAAAGAUUUAUCGCCUUUGGAUGGGCCCGCGUUGGAUUAGCUAGUUGGUAGGGUAAAAGCCUACCAAGGCGACGAUCCAUAGCUGGUCUGAGAGGAUGAUCAGCCACACUGGGACUGAGACACGGCCCAGACUGCUACGGAAGGCAGCAGUGGGGAAUAUUGGACAAUGGGCGAAAGCCUGAUCCAGCCAUGCCGCGUAAGUGAUGAAGGCCUUAGGGUUGUAAAGCUCUUUUACCCGGGAUGAUAAUGACGGUACCGGGAGAAUAAGCACCGGCUAACUCCGUG
rnacentral:rRNA from 1 species